CCCAGCUACUCGGGAGGGUGAGGUGGAAGAAUUGCUUAAAUCCAAGAGGGAGAGGUUGCAGUGAGCCGAGAUCACGCCAUUGCACUCCAACCCUGGGUGACAGUGCGAGACUCCAUCUCAAAAAAGAAAAAAAGAAAAGGGGGAAAAUGACAAGUAAAUAUUCUUCUCUCUUUUUGAGUCUGUGUCAUAUUCAGCACUGUGAACCCUUACCAGCAAGUGACUAUUUUUGAGUUACAGGAAGGAAAGGUGAGCAGCCAUGUGGCUAAAGAAAGCUCCUUAACUAGGACAUAUGGGAAGCAAAAGAUGGUUAACAUUUUUCUGCUGAAUGAAUUCUACAUUCUUUCACAUUCUUUGUGUUGAAAUAAACUUCUAGCUUAUCUUUCAAAUGGCUCCUAAUUUUAUUUAUGCAAGUACGUUACUGCUUUAAUUCCUUGAUGAAACAAGGCAAGAUAUAAAUAAAUACAAUAAAAGCUAUUCUAGCUGGGUAGAACACCUUUUCAAAAGUCUUCCCUAGAGUAAAUAUCAAAUCAAAAUGCCUUUAUGAAUCAGUUGCCCUUAAAAGGGUGGAUUUUACGGUCUGAAUAUCUCAAUUUCAACAGAAACACAAAACAGAAAAAAAAAAACCUGGUUGUCUCAGAACAUCAGUUCUUAAAAUCAAGGCAUAAUAAAUGGUCUAUAUGUGUAGACAAUUUUGAUGUAGAUGAUCUCUCCAGACAGUCUGGGGAACACAGGAACCAUUGUAUUGAUCAGACUGUGGUCACAUGUACUACUUAGCUAAAGAGGUUCUGUUCCUGGUGAGAUUCUCCUGAGAAGCAAGCAUUUGCUUUCAAUAUCCAGCAUAAAGGGCAUGUUUUCUUGCAGGUGGCAGUCAGGAAUUUGCAAUAUUUUAAUUAAUUAAUUUAUUUAUUUAUUUUGAGACAAGGUCUCUCUGUUUCCGAGGCUGGAGUGCAGUGGCACUAUCACGACUCACUGCAGCCUCAACCCCUCUAGCUCCCAAGCAGCUGGAACUACAGGCAUGCACUAUCACGCAUGGCUAAUUUUUGUAUC
rnacentral:lncRNA from 1 species